UACAGAGGGGGCAAGCGUUGUUCGGAAUUACUGGGCGUAAAGGGCGCGUAGGCGGCCUGUUAAGUCGGACGUGAAAUCCCACGGCUCAACCGUGGAACUGCUUGGUAUACUGCUUUUCUUGAGCCACUUAGGGGCAACCGGAACAAACGGUGGAGCGGUGAAAUGCGUAGAUAUCGUUUGGAACGCCAAUGGUGAAAACAGGUUGCUGGGAGUGUGCUGACGCUGAGACACGAAAGCCAGGGGAGCGAACGGG
rnacentral:rRNA from 1 species